UACGUAGGGUGCAAGCGUUAAUCGGAAUUACUGGGCGUAAAGCGUGCGCAGGCGGCUUUGCAAGACAGAUGUGAAAUCCCCGGGCUUAACCUGGGAACUGCAUUUGUGACUGCAUGGCUGGAGUGCGGCAGAGGGGGAUGGAAUUCCGCGUGUAGCAGUGAAAUGCGUAGAUAUGCGGAGGAACACCGAUGGCGAAGGCAAUCUCCUGGGCCUGCACUGACGCUCAUGCACGAAAGCGUGGGGAGCAAACAGG
rnacentral:rRNA from 1 species